CCUAAGUGAGUACACUGUCAUGGCAUAAGAGGUACAUGGGCCAGAUUACGAUCUGAGGACCGAAGACAUCGACGGAUAUGUCCUCAUGAGGGUUGGAGAAGGCAAGAGGAAUGGACGGUACUGGAUUACCGACGGGGCAAUCGACUCGUCGUCCACUCUCACUCUAUCUCAGGUGCGAGCAAGGAGCAUGAGCUCGAGCCUAGCCAUACGACAUCGGCAGGACAGCUCACAUCAUCGCAUACAGCAACUCCAGGCGCAACUAGAAGAAGAAAGGAGGGAACAGCAAGGGAUGGAGACGAGGAUGAUAGCGGAGCGGGAGGCCCACUAGACAGAUCAGUAGAGGAUGGCUGAGAUAAUCUAGUACAUGCAGAGCCUUGCCGCCGUACCUGGUUUUACUCCACCACCUCCGUUGUUCCCUCCAGUUGACCCUACUCAGCUCCAUAUUCCUGGACAAUCUGGGGCGGCAUCCAACAACCCUCAUGGAUUGCCCAGCCCAUCGCCGCACCAGUCCAGCUGUCCACCUCGCUGAUGAUCUUCUCUUAGCAUAGUGGUGAUUAUGAGACUUGUGUGAUAAACUUGUCCUGAACUUAUGUUUGAGAGUUGGUAAUACUUAUGUUGGUGAAACUUAGUAUGAACAUAGACAUGUUUGCGAAAAACUUGUGAGAUUUGUGGUUUUUGUGAAAUAUGUGGUCUCUAUUAUGUAUAUGAUGAUUAUGUGAUAUAUGUGAUGUAUAUGUGAUGAUUAUGUGAUA